ACGUGAUCUGAGUUCAGACCGGAGUAAUCCAGGUCAGUUUCUAUCUAUAAAGAGCUUUUUCUAGUACGAAAGGACCGAAAAAGCAUGGCCUAUACUUCAAGCAAGCCAUCAUAAACAAUUUAUGAUUUAAACUAAAUAAACAAUUUAUCUUCAAUUAAACUCAAGACAAGAGA
rnacentral:rRNA from 1 species